rnacentral:lncRNA from 1 species
GCAGGCGUUCACUUUUUCUUUUUUUUCCCUUGACGAUACCUUAAAUAUGAUCACUGGGGAAGUUUUUCCCUCGGCAACCUACAACUUAAGCGAUCAGAGGAGGCUUUUAUCUAACGUGGUCUUUAAACAGACGAUCUUUCAUGCAAGAAAUAACAGUAUUAUGAGCCCAAUCCUAGCGCUCCUCCAGAAUCAAUUUUUUAUGCCUUCUUCGGCCUUUAAAAAAGGGCCUCGGCACCUCUUGUUCCAUUGUAAGAGAUGCUACAUUGUUUGCAUCAAUAGAAGUAAAGCACCAAUAAUGCUACAGCGGAAAGUUCUCUUCCUUUUUCUUCCAUUAGAACCGACUUUUCCAACUGCAGAUUUCUUUGGCAUAAAAGAUCCUAUAAUCGAAGAGUCGGCAGCCCAAAAGAUAGCUCGAGA